UCGGAUGUGGUGUAUGUAUGGUGCACACCUGCUGUCUAUGCACGAAGCAGAUCGAUAAACAGUCUGCGGGAAGCCUGGGUUCGACUCCCGGCGUCCGAA